GUGGUUUAAUUCGAAGCAACGCGCAGAACCUUACCAACCCUUGACAUCCUGUGCUAACCCGAGAGAUCGGGCUUUCCCUUCGGGGACGCAGUGACAGGUGCUGCAUGGCUGUCGUCAGCUCGUGUCGUGAGAUGUCGGGUUAAGUCCCUUAACGAGCGAAACCCUUAUCUCUAGUUGCCAGCGAGUAAUGUCGGGGACUCUAGAGAGACCGCCGGUGUCAAACCGGAGGAAGGUGGGGAUGACGUCAGGUCAUCAUGGCCCUUACGGCCAGGGCUACACACGUGCUACAAUGGUUGGUACAACGGGCUG
rnacentral:rRNA from 1 species